GCUGGGAUUCCCGAGUGGUCAAAGGGGACGGUUUUAAGCACCGUUGCGUUAGCUUCGUGGGUUCGAAUCCCACUCUCAGCA
rnacentral:tRNA from 1 species